UACGGAGGGUGCGAGCGUUGUCCGGAAUCAUUGGGCGUAAAGGGCGCGUAGGUGGCCCCUCAAGCGUGCGGUGAAAGUCAGGGGCUCAACCCCUGAUCGGCCGUGCGAACUGGGGGAGCUUGAGCACUGUAGAGGCAGGCGGAAUUCCGGGUGUAGCGGUGGAAUGCGUAGAGAUCCGGAAGAACACCGGGUGGCGAAGGCG
rnacentral:rRNA from 1 species